UUGCAGCCCGACUUGAACGGAGCUCUUUUUAUGAGGAGGAACGACGAGCAAAAAAGCGGGAGUGGAAGGCGGAUAAAGC
rnacentral:misc_RNA from 1 species